rnacentral:rRNA from 1 species
CUACGGGUCGCAGCAGUGGGGAAUAUUGGACAAUGGGGGAAACCCUGAUGCAGCAACGCCGCGUGGAGGAUGACGCAUUUCGGUGUGUAAACUCCUUUUAUAUGUCAAGAAAAUGACGGUAGCAUAUGAAUAAGCACCGGCUAACUCCGUGCCAGCAGCCGCGGUAAUACGGAGGGUGCAAGCGUUAAUCGGAAUUACUGGGCGUAAAGCGCGCGUAGGCGGGUUGGAAAGUCAGGUGUGAAAUCCUACAGCUUAACUGUAGAACUGCACUUGAAACUUCUAAUCUAGAGUAUGGGAGGGGGAGAUGGAAUUAGUGGUGUAGGGGUAAAAUCCGUAGAUAUCACUAGGAAUACCUAAAGCGAAGGCGAUCUCCUGGAACAUUACUGACGCUAAGGCGUGAAAGCGUGGGGAGCAAACAGGAUUAGAUACCCCCGUAGUC